ensembl:lncRNA
CUAAUAGGGAACAUAUACAAAAGAAACGGAGAUCCUACCAUCAGAGUCCAUCUCCACCUCCGGCCACAGGCCGCUGUCCUCUCGCAGGCUUUGGACUCGAUUAUUGGGGCCCAGAAUUUGGGCGGCCUCGUCCGCGUCCAGGUUGAUCAGCUGCAGCAUCGCUCCGUAGUGCCUCCGGAUCUUGGCGGUCGUCAGCACUUUAGGGUCCUCGGCUCCGCAGUCCUUGACGAACCUCUGGAUGCACUCGGCCCCGCUGUAGGCGGACAGAGUCUGCGGCCGGCCAAAGACGUAGGGAUUCUGCCUGGGGACGCCGCACUUCUUGCGCACGUUGACGAGGAGCUCCAUGGCCGACUCGAACGACGGCUUCAGGAAAACGGGGACCGUCUUCCCGGUGUUCCCUCGAACGUCGAUCCUGGUGAAGAACUCGCUCAUGCUCCUCUCCAGAUCCGAGAAGGUGACGCCAUCGACCGCGCGGGACUUCUUCCGGGACGCGAAAGCCGACAGCUCCACCGAGGACACCUCCACGACGCUCCUCCGGUUGAAGAGCAGCGUGCGCGCGAGGGUCACCUUGGCCAGGGAGGCGUAGUUUUCCGCAGUCGCCGCGUCCCUGAGAUUCUUCUCGGCGACGAGGUGAACUUCCUCCAUGUGGGCAUUCAGCCGCUUUACGUCUUGGGCGAACGGCACCUUCUUCUCCUUGGUCAGCUUGGUUUCCCUCAGCGACGUCAACGCGCCCCCCGAAACCAGCGCGUUCCACUUGUCGUGGUACACGGCGAGGAAGCUGCGCGCGGCCUCGGCCGAGCCGGCGUCGCCGCGCCUCACGGCGUUGCCCUCGACGAUGGCGCAGGUCUUCUGGAGGUUGUAGCCGAGCUUGAUGGCGAGCGACGGGAGGCCGUACGUCUUCUUCUCCGGGUCGUAGGCCGCCAGGGCGUUCACCGCCGACACCACGUGCGGGAACGCCGACGGCAGAAAGAAGUCCUCCAGCUUCUUCAGGGGGGUGGUCUCCCGCGCCUCCUGCACCAGCCUCGCAACCUGACGGAGGUUCUGCCUUAUGUAGUGGUGCUUCUUGGGAUCGGAUCCCUGCUGGCUGAAGAGCUCCUCGCCGUACUGCAAGAUGAUCUCGUCCGCCAUGAUGGCCUGGGUCACGUCGUCGAACACCAUCGGGGACAUGAUGUUCUUGAAGCCGUCGCUGAUCCCGAGGUCCUCCAAGGUCUCCAGCACGCAGCGCAAAGCCAGGCGCCGCCUGCCGAGCUCCGGCUCGUCGCCGCCGUUGGCCGCUUUCUCCGGGCACGAUUUCAUGUGCCUGUGCAGCGCUUUCUUGAUGAAAAGGCCUCGGCAGUACAGGCAGUGAAGAAAGUCUUGGGCCCUCUGAGUUGUGCUCGGCCUUUUUCGGGAAACCAGUUGGCCCCGCCCCGUUUUCAAGACCUCCUUGUUAUGAGCAAAGUUUCCCUGAUUUAUUAG